AUUUGGGCAAUGAAAGGGUAUAGUAAUGAAAAUCUCCCUAUUUCAGAGAGCUGAUGGUUGGUGUGAAUCAGUAUAUAGAUUAUUCAUGAAGUUCGUCCUGGAGCAUCUUUCAUAAAUCUCACAUUAUGAGGAAAUGGAAGACGGUAGUUUAUACCGUUAUCAAAUAAAGUGGUGAAGAUUUUUUCACAACUAGGGUGGUACCGCGAUAUUUAUCGUCCCUACG
rfam:Bacillus cereus Rock4-18 chromosome, whole genome shotgun sequence.